UGGAUACAGCAAAGGUGGGCGUGUUCGUGCUCAACAGACGAAAAAAAUUGGGAUGCCCAGCAAAAGUGCUGAUCAAAGAAUGAAUUAUGCUUCCUGCCAGUCAUCCCAUACAGGAUAACACUAAGGCAGCACUGGCAGCAUCUCUGAUUGACCUUGCUGCGACAGGAGUAUAUUCAUGCCGCUACUUCAUGUGUCUACCAGACCUGGAAAAGCACAAGUAUCACGAAACAGGCAUUUCUUCAGGCCUGAGCCAAAAUAUUGACCGGGGACUUGUUAAUAAGAUAUCAGAAUUGGUUGACGAAGGACUGUCAAACACAGACGAAAUGGAGCGGCGCCUUUGAGGUCAUGUUCUGAAAAUAGAAAAUAUUACCCCAGCACCAACAAGCAAGAGGUUUUUUCCAAAUCGUACCACAAUUCGGAACCACAUGCGAAAGGCAGAGAACAUAAAACAUACAAGCAUAGACGAUGAAACAAAUCUCGAAGGCUUUGUAAGUGUAGGAUUCUGUUACUGACUGUGAAAUCAACAUUGUCUAGUGGACCUCUACUAAUGAUGCUCCAAGGGUAAAAAUAAGCCCCGUCCUGGGAGCAAAUGUAUUUUUCCAAUAUGUAAAUUGCAAAUAUUUAAAAAUUCUCCAUAGCCCAAAGGCUUAAGCAUGUAUAUUUGGUAUAAAACACUGUCCAGUAGACAUUUACAAUGUUUCUUUAAAUAAUGCCUCAGUUUUAAAAUAUACCCUGCCAUGAGACCAAUGUGUGUUCCUUAAAUGUAUAUAGUAAACAAAAAAAACAUCUUUCUUUCUUUUCCGAAAUUUGCAUUGUUAGCGACCCAUGUCCCCUGACCUCUUGUUAAAGUACUGAAUUCUUUUCUUCUGCACCAUUAAAACUACAGCGAACCAAUGGUGGAUGAAGAUUGUGAAUACCCAUUGCGAUGCAGUAGUUACAAAUGUUCAAUCACUUUGAGCGAUGCAUGGCUUUUGGCAAAUAAAUGAUGAACGACACUCAGCAAUGAAAACAACACUUUUGUGUGUGUUCAGUUUGAAUUUCACUGAAUGUUGACGUGAUUAAUAAGCAGAUUUGCACUUCAUUACAACCAGCCUAAGGUAAUUGUGGCUGCUGUUAUGUAAAUGCAAGUCUGUUGUAAUCGUCAUUUUGUAAUCGUACAUGUAUUGUGUAUUUGAUCUGUUGAAACAACUAUAUAGAUGGAAACAAGGCAAUGCUGGAGAUGUUGUUUUCAUGUUAAAAAAAGGAGAAAAGGAGGUAUUUUUGAUGUGUUAACAAUGCAGUUUAUAGUUUUGUCUUUGAAUUCAAUGUUACUUGUUGAUUUACACACUGCUAAAUUGUUGAAAUAAAAUGCAAGGAGGAUAAUCAAAGGAGGAGGAUGCAAGGAGGAUAAUAACAGGGGGAGGAUGAAUGGAGGAUAAUCACAGGAUGAGGAUAAUCACAGGAGGAGGAUAAUCACAGGAGGAGGAUAAUCACAGGAGGAGGAUGCAAGGAGGGUUAUCACAGGAGGAGGAUGCAAGGAGGAUAAUCACAGGAGGAGGAUAAUCACAGAAGGAGGAUGCAAUAAUGAUAAUCACAGGAGGAGGAUGCAAAGAGGAUAAUCACAGGAGAUGGAUAAUCACGGGAGGAGGAUGCAAGGAGGAUAAUCAUAGGAUGAGGAUAAUCACAGGAGGAGGAUGCAAGGAGGAUAAUCACA